rnacentral:rRNA from 2 species
AUUCCGGUUGAUCCUGCCGGAGGUCAUUGCUAUUGGAGUCCGAUUUAGCCAUGCUAGUUGCACGAGUUCAGACUCGUAGCAGAUAGCUCAGUAACACGUGGCCAAACUACCCUAUGGAUCCGAAUAACCUCGGGAAACUGAGGCUAAUUCGGAAUACGGCUCACCACCUGGAGUGGUGUGAGCCCGAAACGCUCCGGCGCCAUAGGAUGUGGCUGCGGCCGAUUAGGUAGACGGUGGGGUAACGGCCCACCGUGCCCAUAAUCGGUACGGGUUGUGAGAGCAAGAGCCCGGAGACGGUAUCUGAGACAAGAUACCGGGCCCUACGGGGCGCAGCAGGCGCGAAACCUUUACACUGCACGAAAGUGCGAUAAGGGGACUCCAAGUGCGAGGGCAUAUAGUCCUCGCUUUUUGCGACCGUAAGGUGGUCGCGGAAUAAGUGCUGGGCAAGACCGGUGCCAGCCGCCGCGGUAAUACCGGCAGCACGAGUGAUGACCGCUAUUAUUGGGCCUAAAGCGUCCGUAGCUGGCCAUGCAAGUCCAUCGGGAAAUCCGCGCGCUUAACGCGCGGGCGUCCGGUGGAAACUGCAUGGCUUGGGACCGGAAGACCAGAGGGGUACGUCCGGGGUAGGAGUGAAAUCCCGUAAUCCUGGACGGACCACCGGUGGCGAAAGCGCCUCUGGAAGACGGAUCCGACGGUGAGGGACGAAAGCUCGGGUCACGAACCGGAUUAGAUACCCGGGUAGUCCGAGCUGUAAACGAUGUCUGCUAGGUGUGGCACAGGCUACGAGCCUGUGCUGUGCCGCAGGGAAGCCGUGAAGCAGACCGCCUGGGAAGUACGUCCGCAAGGAUGAAACUUAAAGGAAUUGGCGGGGGAGCACUACAACCGGAGGAGCCUGCGGUUUAAUUGGACUCAACGCCGGACAUCUCACCAGCAUCGACAAUGUGCAGUGAAAGUCAGGUUGAUGACCUUACUGGAGCCAUUGAGAGGAGGUGCAUGGCCGCCGUCAGCUCGUACCGU